rnacentral:rRNA from 1 species
AUUGAACGCUGGCGGCAUGCUUUACACAUGCAAGUCGGACGAGUGGCGAACGGGUGAGUAAUGCAUCGGAAAGUGCCUGGUGGUGGGGGAUAACUGUUCGAAAGGGCAGCUAAUACCGCAUACUAUUCGAGCGGCCGAUGUCGGAUUAGCUGGUUGGUGGGGUAACGGCUCACCAAGGCGACGAUCCGUAGCGGGUCUGAGAGGAUGAUCCGCCACACUGGGACUGAGACACGGCCCAGACUCCUACGGGAGGCAGCAGUGGGGAAUUUUGGACAAUGGGCGCAAGCCUGAUCCAGCCAUGCCGCGUGUAUGAAGAAGGCCUUCGGGUUGUAAAGGACUUUUGUCAGGGAAGCGGUACCUGAAGAAUAAGCACCGGCUAACUACGUGCCAGCAGCCGCGGUAAUUC